CCUACGGGAGGCAGCAGUGGGGAAUCUUGCACAAUGGGCGAAAGCCUGAUGCAGCCAUGCCGCGUGAAUGAUGACGGCCUUAGGGUUGUAAAAUUCUUUCGCCAGGGAUGAUAAUGACAGUACCUGGUAAAGAAGCCCCGGCUAACUUCGUGCCAGCAGCCGCGGUAAUACGAAGGGGGCUAGCGUUGUUCGGAAUUACUGGGCGUAAAGCGCGCGUAGGCGGGCUAUUAAGCCAGAUGUGAAAGCCCGGGGCUCAACCCCGGAAUUGCAUUUGGAACUGGUAGCCUAGAGACCAGGAGAGGUUAGCGGAAUACCGAGUGUAGAGGUGAAAUUCGUAGAUAUUCGGUGGAACACCAGUGGCGAAGGCGGCUAACUGGACUGGUACUGACGCUGAGGCGCGAAAGUGUGGGGAGCAAACAGGAUUAGAUACCCCAGUAGUC
rnacentral:rRNA from 1 species